CUCCUCCAGGAAGCCUGUGUUGGCGCGCCGUGCCCGCUGCAGCAGCGACAUCGCCCGCUGAGGGGCCAGGAACACUGCGGGGACCGUGGCCUCAGGGAGCCGGCCUGCCUUGGGACACGCAAGUACCCGGCAGGCCCCUCUUCCGUGGGACUCAGAACUUUGCCGCAAGGACUAAAGGAGCUGAAUGAACGUAAAACGAAUGAUGGACAGCCAGUGCCGAGUCGUCAGUACACCUCCGUGGGUGGAGCAACAGGGAGCCGGUGUAACCACAGCAGGGUGACAUAGUGAGAAGGAGAGACACAGAGAAAGAAGUCUUCCACCUGCUGGUUCAGUCUCCAAAUGGCUGCAACAGAGGAGCUAAGCCAGGCCACACCCAGGAGCUUGGAACUUCAUCCCGGUCUCCCACGUGGGUAGCAGGGGCCCAAGAACUUGAGCCAUUUUGCACUCCAUCCCAGGAGCAUUAGCAGAGAGCUGGAUCAAACCUGCAUUCAAGCGUGGACUAGGGGCCUCCCAAGCGGUGGUUUAACCUGCUGUGCCAUGUCGCCCACCCCAGCAACUCGAAUUUCUAUGCACACGCCCAUGUAACCAGCUCCCAACAGGUCCCUCCUUCGUGUCACCUCUCAGCAGAGCCCCCACGGAAAGCCUCUGUCCUCACUGCUAUCACUACCCUGCAGUUGUGUCCGUUUCUGAACUUCACACAAAUGAAAACCUACAGCACAUCCUUGUGUGGGUCUGGCUGUUCUCGCUAGUGCGUGUCUGGGAUCCACCCAUGUUGUGUGGAGCAGGAAUCCGUUCCUUUCAGGAUUUCGUGGGAUCUCACUGUGUGGCUAUUGCAUAUAGAUCCACUUGCCGGCUGAUGGGCAUUUGGAGUGGUUCCCAGCUUGGGGCUGUUAGGACUGGAACUUCUAUGGAUAUUCUUGUGCAAGACUUUUCCUGUAAGUAAGCCCUGAUUUCUGUCGGGUCUAUGCCCAGGAGUGGACUUUCUGGUCCAUGUGGCAGGCGUCCAUCUUGAUGACCAUCCCACGUGGUUGUGUAGCUUCCACCCCACAAGCAAGGACCGAGAGCCCCUCUCCUCACCCAUGGCCCCUGGCAUCCAUCCAUGUCACAUGAACCAUUCGGGUGGGUGUAUACGUGUGGCUUGCCGUGGCUUGUUUUUUUUUUUAAACAAAUAUUUAUUCGAGGGGCAGACAGAAAGAGAAAGCUGGUUCAUUCCCUCCAGAUGCCCAUAUGCUCAUGACUGGACCAGAGCCAAAGGUGGGAACUACAGGUGCAAUCCAGGUCUCCCACGUGGGUGGCAGGAACCCGGUCACUGGAGUCAUCCCUGCUGCCUCCCCGCGUCUCCAAUGACAGGGAGCUCUGAUGGGGGUCACGGGCACCUUAACUGCUAGGCCAGAAUGCCCACCGCUUCUGGUUCUGUAUUUUUGUUUUUUUUAAAGAUGUAUUUAUUUAUUUGAAAGAGUUACAGAGAGAGGGAGAAACAGAGAGACAUUGCGCUUCCUUCUGCUGGCUCACUCACCAGA